AUUGAACGCUGGCGGCAGGCCUAACACAUGCAAGUCGAACGAGUGGCGGACGGGUGAGUAAUGUCUGGGAAACUGCCCUAUGGAGGGGGGUAACUACUGGAAACGGGAGCUAAUACCCCGUACCAUCGGAUGUUCCCAGAUGGGAUUAGCUGGUAGGUGAGGUAACGGCUGACCUAGGCGACGAUCCCUAGCUGGUCUGAGAGGAUGACCAGCCACACUGGAACUGAGACACGGUCCAGACUCCUACGGGAGGCAGCAGUGGGGAAUAUUGCACAAUGGGCGCAAGCCUGAUGCAGCCAUGCCGCGUGUAUGAAGAAGGCCUUCGGGUUGUAAAGUACUUUCAGCGGGGAGGCGUUACCCGCAGAAGAAGCACCGGCUAACUCCGUGCCAGCAGCCGCGGUAAUAC
rnacentral:rRNA from 1 species